rnacentral:rRNA from 1 species
GACGAACGCUGGCGGCGUGCUUAACACAUGCAAGUCGAGCGGUAAGGCCCUUUCGGGGGUACACGAGCGGCGAACGGGUGAGUAACACGUGGGUGACCUGCCCUCAGCUCUGGGAUAAGCCUGGGAAACUGGGUCUAAUACUGGAUAUGACUCCACGGUGCAUGUCGUGGGGUGGAAAGCCUUGUGCGGCUGAGGAUGGGCCCGCGGCCUAUCAGCUUGUUGGUGGGGUGANGGCCUACCAAGGCGACGACGGGUAGCCGGCCUGAGAGGGCGACCGGCCACACUGGGACUGAGACACGGCCCAGACUCCUACGGGAGGCAGCAGUGGGGAAUCUUGCGCAAUGGGCGAAAGCCUGACGCUGCGACGCCGCGUGAGGGAUGACGGCCU